AGAUGUCACAACUUAGAGCCCCAAAAGUAUAAAGAGAGGGAUGGCCUCCCUGCUGCAGCCAUUAGAAAAGUAGGACCUACAGCAUGCUUGCAACAAUUCGGGCACGGUUUUUGUCACCAGCCUCGACAGUGGAGUGCCUCAAUCCUGGCGUGCCUGUAAAAGACUGCGAUGCUCACUGAACUACACCGCAAGAAACAAAACAGAAAGAGGGACAAACCAACCAGGAACAAGGCAACAGAAGGGAGGCGGUAAAUGCUGAGGCUCGAUGACUGCAAAGCCCAGUCGGCUUGUCUGAGGGAGGACGAGACUAAAUCCAGGCAAGAAGUGAAAAGGCUGCGCAGAGUUACUCGAGGUCAGUGCAUGACGACAAAGGGCAGUCUGCCGGAACGGAAGGAAAUGAUAACCGAUACCCGUUCACCCGGAAGGCUAGAGUGGAUGCUGUCUAACCCUGGUGAUCUUCUGCUAUUCUAUGGACUCAGCCUUCACCUGAAUCUGCCAAAAUCCUGAGCAUUGUCUAGGCCCCAGUCCUGAGCUUUGCCUCCCAGUGAAUAGACCCCAUCCUUAUGAGAGAGGUCCUGUGUAUUUUGCAUUCCCCAUCAAUAGAAUCUAUCUGAUUGCUUAUUAAAGGGCUCUUACAGGCCCCAGCAUGGCAAACGUGGAACUGGCAGGUUUUGCCCUCUCCCCUUCCCUCUCUCUCGUCAAACCAUUAGAUUACAUUCCUAAAGCUAGCCACCAAGGUCUAGCCCCGAAUUUGGCCACUUCCUUAUGCCUUCGUAAUAGAAUCUCCUUUGUGCCGAGAACUUGGUGUCUGGGUGUGUUCUGUGCCCACUCUGAGGUCCCUUCACUUCCUACAAGUGGAUUUGUAGGCUCUUUCUUCCUAGGCCUGUGCCGUGAGCACUAUUUAUCAGUCAAUACAACUCAUUCUUAAUAUAAGAGUCACAGGUGCUUGGCUAGUUUGGAAGGGAGUUUAGGUGCAGCCGUCCCUGAAGCUUUAUGGUGAGAAUUGUCACAUGGAGACUUUCCCCAAGGCUUUACUGUGCUUAAAUGUGUAUGGAAAAUAAACCAUGAGAUCAG
rnacentral:lncRNA from 1 species